rnacentral:lncRNA from 1 species
GUUUCAUUCAUUUUCUCAACUUUUCCUGAGGAUCGUGGCCUCCAGUCAUAGUGUAAGUGAUAUUGUAUGCCUAACACCUGGGAUACUCCCUGGGUUACUGUAGCCUUGAAAGCAGGGCCAUUGUCACUCUGUAAGCCUCGGGGAAGUCUGAAUCUGGGAAUUAUUUCAUGAACUAGUGCCUUCAUUACCUCUUGAGUCUUUUCUGUUCUACAAGGAAAAGCGUCC